CAUGGUCGGCAAUGAUACAGACGA
rnacentral:miRNA from 1 species